rnacentral:rRNA from 1 species
GAUGAACGCUGGCGGCGUGCUUAACACAUGCAAGUCGAACGGAAAGGCCCAAGCUUGCUUGGGUACUCGAGUGGCGAACGGGUGAGUAACACGUGGGUGAUCUGCCCUGCACUUCGGGAUAAGCCUGGGAAACUGGGUCUAAUACCGGAUAGGACCACUUCUUGGAUGUUGUGGUGGAAAGUUUUUUCGGUGUGGGAUGAGCUCGCGGCCUAUAGGCUUGUUGGUGGGGUAAUGGUCUACCAAGGCGUCGACGGGUAGCCGGCCUGAGAGGGUGUACGGCCGCAUUGGGACUGAGAGACGGCCCAGACUCCUACGGGAGGCAGCAGUGGGGAAUAUUGAACAAUGGGCGCCAGCCUGAUGCAGCGACGCCGCGUGGGGGAUGACGGCCUUCGGGUUGUAGACUCCUUUCGCUAGGGACGAAGCGUUUUGUGACGGUACCUGGAGAAGAAGCACCGGCUAACUACGUG